GCUGCUCAAGUGUGCUACCUCUCCGUGGUGAGCAGCAGGCAACGGAGUGUGCACGCACUCUCCGGCUAAAGCAUGA
rnacentral:ribozyme from 1 species